ensembl:lncRNA
UUUUCUUUUCGAGAAACCCCAUUGAACCCAAACAUCACGCGUUUUCUCUUCAGAAAUACCACAUUUAAGCGAAAAUCAAGUUUUCUCUUUGAAAAUCCCCCAUUUAACCCAAAAAUCUCGCAUUUUCUCAUCGCAAAUCCCCCAUUUAAGCGAAAAACACACAUUUUCUCAUCGCAAAUCCCCCAUUUAAGCGAAAAUCACACAUUUUCUCUUCGAGAAUCCCCCAUUUAACCGAAAAUCACGCGUUUUCUCUUCGCGAAUCCCCCAUUUAAGCGAAAAUCACGCGUUUUCUCUUUGCAAAUCCCCCAUUUAAGCGAAAAUCACACGUUUUCUCUUUGCAAAUCCCCCAUUUAACCCGAAAUUCCGCAUUUUCUCUUCGAG